UUGAGAGGAAGAAUGUCUCACUUUGUACGCACUCUGGCUGCCACUGGCCUCCGAAGAAUUUAUUCAGACUAAGGUCACCUUUCGGUGAAUGAUGCUCCUGCUCCUGGUUUUCCACUCGUGUAUGCACUAAUCUUAAUUUUUUUAAAGACUUUUCCUGACCUUUGACCUCCUGCCACAUUGUAUGCUUACUAAGGGAAUUAUUUGCAAGGACACUGGGGAACAGGAAGGGGGCAGCUGAUUGCUCGCCACUGAGAGAUGCAGAAUUUGCUCUUGGGGGAUGGCCAGGUCAGUAGUUCCUAGAAAUGCCGUGUAGUGCGUAGUCAGUCCUUAAGAGUGUCGUACGCAAGCUCCAGCUGCCGGCCACCCACGUGAGCUCAAACUGAUGCUUGUGCUGUGUUUAAGAGCACUCAGAGAGAAUAUCCCUGAGUUCUCAGAUAUGAAUUCCCGUUUGUUGAUUUAAAUCCUUUUCCAGGUAACGAUCGGAGCAGUAACUGAAGGAGCAGGCGCUGCUCUUCUCCAGGUUCAUCCAGAGGCUUCUUCAGAGAGGCGUCUGCCUGCCAGUCACAUACACUUAGAUUGACGUAAUUUUUAAUAGCAAAAUGAAAUUGUGCUGAAGGCCUGAAAGUUGAGGAGUUACAUUACUUUAGGGUCUUUCCAGUUUGCUUUUUCCCUUUGAACUCCAGCUUUAUAAUGGUACUUACACUGGAUCUGGACUCACUGUCGAGAGAGAAGGUGGGCUGAGCACAGCAGUGGCCUGAUGCUUUGCGGCCUGGCUCUGGAGGACACUUUCCUGCUGUGCCUUUGCACUCACUGCUUAACCCAAAGUAACAGGACUUUCGGUCAUCUGAGAAGGCCAUCUCAAAAGUUGCAGUUUUCUUCCUUGGAACUUUCUUACUAUUUGGACAUGCAGUUGUCGCCAAACUCAAGUAUUUGUGGGACUUGUGGUCACUUCGAUACUGAAGACUGCCAAAUACAUUGGGAUUUUCUCCUACACAGCCGCCAUGAAGACUCCAUCUCCUUCCCCGAGCCGCGUGCUGAGCGCGCACUGGGUGUGCACCGCAGAGCUGGGAAGAAAGUGUGGGGACUCAGAGG
rnacentral:lncRNA from 1 species